rnacentral:rRNA from 1 species
AUUGAACGCUGGCGGCAGGCCUAACACAUGCAAGUCGAACGGUAGCACAGAGAGCUUGCUCUCGGGUGACGAGUGGCGGACGGGUGAGUAAUGUCUGGGAAACUGCCUGAUGGAGGGGGAUAACUACUGGAAACGGUAGCUAAUACCGCAUAACGUCGCAAGACCAAAGAGGGGGACCUUCGGGCCUCUUGCCAUCAGAUGUGCCCAGAUGGGAUUAGCUAGUAGGUGGGGUAACGGCUCACCUAGGCGACGAUCCCUAGCUGGUCUGAGAGGAUGACCAGCCACACUGGAACUGAGACACGGUCCAGACUCCUACGGGAGGCAGCAGUGGGGAAUAUUGCACAAUGGGCGCAAGCCUGAUGCAGCCAUGCCGCGUGUAUGAAGAAGGCCUUCGGGUUGUAAAGUACUUUCAGCGGGGAGGAAGGUGUUGUGGUUAAUAACCACAGAAAUUGACGUUACCCGCAGAAGAAGCACCG